UCAGUGACGAGCCUACCUACUAGAUUCUAGAUCUACCUGCUAAUCCAGAACAAGAUGUUUACUUAGGGAAAUAUUUGCUCACAAGACAAACGUGUGUGCCUCAGUGACAGAGACCUGGUCUAUUUCCUGGACACGAGGAGAGAGCAAAGGUCAACCAGAAACUGGAGGAGGCUGUUUCCAUCUGUACUUUCUACCUGUGCUGAAAGUGGCUUGAAAGAGCACCAAAACUGGUCCCUCACACCGGUGGAGCAACUGGCUGUUGCUAUGGAGAGAAGCUUUCUAAAAUUCCUGCUUGCCCAGCCACUGGAGGUGAGGGUGAUUCUGAAAACUUGCACAAAAGGCGGGGUAAGGAAGUGAAAUUUCUU